AGAGCUUCCUGUAAGCGAACCCGUGAAGGUUCCAGGAGGAUGGCGCACCCGGAAAGGGCGUGGAAGCUCCGCGCCCCUUCCCACAGACUUUCCCCCAUCCAUCUCUUCAUCUGGUGUUCAUCGAUAGCCUUUGUAAUGUCCUUAAUAGUAAACCGGAAAACAUGUACACCUAACAGCAUGGUAAGGAAGCCCCAGAAGGAUGUUUCUAAAGACCAUGAGGGAGUCUGAAACCUGAAAUCAUGCCAAGGACUCUCUGCUUCUCUUUCACUUGGGGUGUCUAUCUGAUGCUGCCACAACCAGUUGAAACGUAUAACAUUAACAAUAAAAAUUAGUUUUUUUGUAACUAAUUUUAU
rnacentral:lncRNA from 1 species